GAGCAAAGCGGCCCUCUCCGCUUCGCUUUUCUUUUUCCUUCUCCUCCAUGAGGCUUACCGAGUCCGCUUCUCGAGAUCUGUAAGUGGAACAAAAGCAGAUCCAGCUCGAUCCGGAGCGGAGAAUGCGAGAGAAAGCAGCAGCGCCGGCGGGUAAGCAGAAGGGAUGGUGGGUAGUGGCGGCGAUGGAGGAGGCAGUAGCAGGGCCGGCGGAGGCGGAGGCGGUGGUCCGGCAGCGUCGAUUAGCGCCGCAGCGGUCACGACCAUUGGCUCUGUGGAACUGAGGCUCGGUCCUCAGGAGAGGGUACGCGCGCUCUCUUUGUGCCUCUUUAAUUCUCUUUUCUCGAUCUUUUCCGUGCCUUGUUGCUUUCGUUUUCCUGGGGAAUGCUAGGUUUAGGGUGAUUUUUCUGCCUUUGAGUUUAGAUUUGUAGCAAUUCGCAGGGUUCGACGCCUCCACUUCUUUAGUGCGGGAAUCGGGGGGCUCAGAUUUAGGGCUCUGAGAUACAAAAUCUUGCUGAUUGUGUGUGAGAGAGAUUUUUCUUGGCAUCUCUGCCUGAGUGCUGCCUCUUCGUUUCCGUAUCGGAACUUUUUGGUUGAUUCAAUUCUUUGUAAGAG
rnacentral:lncRNA from 1 species